UCAUUGAUAAUUUGUUCGUCGUAUGUGA
rnacentral:sRNA from 1 species